UCUAGUUUAUCUUAUCAGGAGUGA
rnacentral:siRNA from 1 species